GUAGGGAAUCUUCCACAAUGGACGAAAGUCUGAUGGAGCAACGCCGCGUGAGUGAAGAAGGUCUUCGGAUCGUAAAACUCUGUUGUUAGAGAAGAACGUGCAUGAUAGUAACUGAUCAUGUAAUGACGGUAUCUAACCAGAAAGCCACGGCUAACUACGUGCCAGCAGCCGCGGUAAUACGUAGGUGGCAAGCGUUGUUCGGAUUUAUUGGGCGUAAAGGGAACGCAGGCGGUUUUUUAAGUCUGAUGUGAAAGCCUUCGGCUUAACCGAAGAAUAGCAUUGGAAACUGGAAGACUUGAGUGCAGAAGAGGAGAGUGGAAUUCCAUGUGUAGCGGUGAAAUGCGUAGAUAUAUGGAGGAACACCAGCGGCGAAAGCGGCUCUCUGGUCUGUAACUGACGCUGAGAUGCGAAAGCCAGGGUAGCGAACGGGAUUAGAAACCCCGGUAGUCC
rnacentral:rRNA from 1 species